CGUGCGCAGCAGCGCUCCUCUCACGAGCUGCGCGUUCACCUGUUCACAUGCACUGUUCCCUCGUGGAGGAGGAGUCCACGAGGUCUUACCUCGCGCUGCAUUAUAAACAGACAGACUGAGAGUGACAUCCAGCUAACUGACUCCAGAUCAGAUUGGGACAGGUCUCAGCGGGGCCGUGCCACUCAGUUCAGGCAGCCGGUUGGCUGUGACAUCCAUGGAGAUCCUGUAACCCAGUGCCCAUGGUUUGCCCAUACGAAGGGGACGCCAUACCUUUCAGCACGACCGAUUUCAAAUGGUGCUAGAAAACCCCAGUCCACUCUGAACACCAGAGGAAAUCAGUCACGCUACAAAAGGGCCCCUCUGAAGGACGCUGCAGUGUGUCAUAGCAGCUUAGCCAUGGACCAUCAGUGCUGAAAAGAGGGGACCUCCCGGAAUCAGCAUGGCAGCGGAUCUAUGUGCCGUAAGAGAGAGCUUGUAAAGCUCUUAUACAGAAGAACGAACAGUCCCAAGAAAGAUACUCAGCCAGUGUGUGGGAUGACCAUGUGCUCAUCCUUGUCAGAAACACAGUGAUGCCGUCUUGGAGUGUGUGUGUGUGUGUGUGUGUGUGUGUGUGAGUGCGUAAGAAAGAGUGAAAUAAAUAAAUGCUGAGCUGCUUUAAAGACAGAACUUAAUUCAAUGAGAAAUGUAAAAAUAAUGAAAAAUACCUCAAUAAGACUGAAGGAAGAUCAGCAUGAUGUGAGGAUGCAGUGGAGGAGAGACGAGAGCCAAGAGAAGCAUGGAGGCUUGUCUGUCUGGAAACAGUCUCUCAGACAGACUUGACAGCCCCCCGCCCAUGCCCCCCAAACUGCUGGCUUUGAAAACACCCCUACACCCACCAAGCACCCCUCCCUUCCCUCCCUACCCUCACCAACAACCACGCCAUCUCCACAACAUGGCCUUUGCGCAGGGAAUUUCACUCUUUUAUGUCGCACUCUUGGUACUUUUAGCAAAAACUAAAACUCUUAUUUCAGAGUCUAUUGUUAACAAGCAGCGUGUUUUUAGGUCUGUUGUCUCAUGACCCAGUGCAUGUGAGGUGAAUAUGGGCCAGGGUGCCCUCUAAAGGCAACCGCUGUAAAUAGCAGGAGGGUACUCUCAAGAGAGAGCGUGAUUAUACUGUUUACAUGCAAGGUC